rnacentral:rRNA from 1 species
AAUGAACGUUGGCGGCGUGGAUUAGGCAUGCAAGUCGAACGCUUUAUGUAGCAAUACAUGAAGAGUGGCGUAAGGGAGAGUAAUACACAGUUAGCUACCCUCGGGUCUGGGAUAGCGGCGGGAAACUGCCAGUAAUACCAGAUGAUGUCUUCGGACCAAAGGUGUGAUUUCGCCCGAGGAGGUGACUGUGUCCUAUCAGCUAGUUGGCGGGGUAACGGCCCACCAAGGCUAAGACGGGUAUGGGGCGUGAGAGCGUGCCCCCACUCACUGGGACUGAGAUACUGCCCAGACACCUACGGGUGGCUGCAGUCGAGAAUCUUCGGCAAUGGGCGCAAGCCUGACCGAGCGACGCCGCGUGCGGGAUGAAGGCCUUCGGUU